UACUCAGUUCAGAUUGCAGGCUGCAACCCGCCUGCAUGAAGUCGGAAUUGCUAGUAAUCGCGGAUCAGCAUGCCGCGGUGAAUACGUUCCCGGGCCUUGUACACACCGCCCGUCACACCAUGGGAGCCGGUAAUACCCGAAGUCAGUAGUCCAACCUCGUGAGGACGCUGCCGAAGGUAGGAUUGGCGACUGGGGUGAAGUCGUAACAAGGUAGC
rnacentral:rRNA from 1 species